AAAUUGAAUAAUUGGAACUAGCACAACCCAUCUGUUGAGAUUGGUAAAGAUGUCAAUCACUGAAAUUAUGGAGAUUCAUGCAAACAAAUUUGAGCUGCAACCUGUUUGGUUUAGACUUCUGAUGUAUGGCAGCAUUGAUUAGAAAGUAAUAUUAAGAAAUUUGAAGCACCAGAGACCAUAGAGCAACGCAUUCUAGAAGCUGCUGUGCCUGGGGAGGCAAUCAGAUUUGCUGUUACAGCAUAUACACUGGGUAAUGCUGAUAGAGAAGCAAAAUCAGAUGAUUCCUCCAUCGUAAAUGUUGGAGAUAAUAGUGGUGGUAUUGCAAAAGAAGUGUCAAUACUUUGGCGUGCAAAUUUUGAGGAAUUUAUACGGCAUCUUAGGCAUAAGUUAUUGGUCGAGAAUGAAAGAAAGCGACUGGAUGAUGGAGCUGCAACUACCUUAAGUGCCAUAUUGGAUGUGACUAAAACUGUUGAGGAAAAAGUAAAAAUAGAGAAAUCAGUUCCCCUAUCACUGGAGUCCAUUUUUACUGAAGCGACGAAAACUGAACACGGUCGUACUAUGACCAUAGAUUGUGUUAGAGCUUCUCUAAUACAGUUGGGUUGUCCACAGAGGAACUUUGAUGAUUCAUAUAGUAUUGGUACUGUGACAUAUCUUUUCCUCAUGUUAGGCUAUUUUGUGCAAUAUAAACAUUCUCCUUUUGUUUUAUUUAUUUAUUUUUUCUCCAUUUGUUUAUGCCAAUGGAAUUCUCGUUUGUUAACUCUUUUUUAUAGUUUGAAGUUCCUUUACAGAUUUGAGAACCGUUGUUGAAAUGGCUAGAAAUGAGGAGGUUUUUAUAUCUGUCCUUUCCAAGUCAAUUAUAUAUGAGUAUUUAUGUUUCUACAUGUAGAACUCUUGUUUCUUGCGUUAUGUUGCAGGUUGAGUCAAUUGUGUUGAAAAGAUUUGGAAGUGAUGCGUACAGAAUAUUUAGGCUCCUGUCAAAGUCUAACUGUUUUCUUGAGACAGAUAAGGUUAUUAACUCUUAUUGGUAAAAGCAAAAAUUUAGAAAAUGAAAAAUAUUGUCCGAAUUUUUAUUUCUAUGCGAAAAGAAAAUUCAAAGCCCUGUAUAUCUAUGAUAUGGUACUAUUUAUGAAAAUAAAUGAGGUUGUAUGAAAGGAAUCUUUAGUUCUUUAUGGUUUAUUGAAAUGCAUUGAAGUAUUUUAUAAUCCCAUUUUAGCUUUCAAAAGAUGGUUUUUAUGGAAGCAUAACAAGGUAUGAUGUGCCAAAGCCCAAUUAAAGAGAUUGAUGAAUUGUCCUUUACUGUAAUCCUCUUAUAACCUUAUACCUAAUCUCUUUUCUUUGCAGAUAGCAGAGUCUGCUCUUGUUGAUAAAAAGGAAGCUCCUAGAUUACUAUACAAGUUAUGGAAGGAUAACUACUUGCAUAUGGAGAAAUUAGUUGUAACUGCAGCUAAGCAAUCGAGAUUUAUGUUGUGGAAAGUUAAUAAGCCUCUGCUUUGGGAAAUUGUGCUGGACGAGAUGUACCAUGCUGCCUUAAAUUUGAGCUUAAGAUUGGCUUUUAAGCAGGAAAAGGAUGAAGAUGUG